rnacentral:tRNA from 1 species
UCGUAGCUUAAUGGUAAAGCACCGGAUUGUGGCUCCGGUCAAUGCAGGUUCAAGUCCUGUCG